rnacentral:rRNA from 1 species
UAAGUAGGGGGCAAGCGUUAUCCGGAUUUACUGGGUGUAAAGGGCGUGUAGGCGGGACUGCAAGUCAGAUGUGAAACCCAUGGGCUCAACCCAUGGCCUGCAUUUGAAACUGUAGUUCUUGAGUGAUGGAGAGGCAGGCGGAAUUCCGUGUGUAGCGGUGAAAUGCGUAGAUAUACGGAGGAACACCAGUGGCGGAGGCGGCUUACUGGACGGUAACUGACGCUGAGGCUCGAAAGCGUGGGGAGCAAACAGG